ncrna:unclassified sequences DTF805b RNA
AAAGGGGAUGCCGAAAACCUGAAAGAGUAGGUG